UGGGGAAUAUUGGACAAUGGGCGAAAGCCUGAUCCAGCAAUGCCGCGUGAGUGAUGAAGGCCUUAGGGUUGUAAAGCUCUUUUACCCGGGAUGAUAAUGACAGUACCGGGAGAAUAAGCUCCGGCUAACUCCGUGCCAGCAGCCGCGGUAAUACGGAGGGAGCUAGCGUUGUUCGGAAUUACUGGGCGUAAAGCGCACGUAGGCGGCUUUGUAAGUUAGAGGUGAAAGCCCGGGGCUCAACCCCGGAAUUGCCUUUAAGACUGCAUCGCUUGAAUCCAGGAGAGGUGAGUGGAAUUCCGAGUGUAGAGGUGAAAUUCGUAGAUAUUCGGAAGAACACCAGUGGCGAAGGCGGCUCACUGGACUGGUAUUGACGCUGAGGUGCGAAAGCGUGGGGAGCAAACA
rnacentral:rRNA from 1 species